UAGGGAAUAUUGGGCAAUGGAUGCAAGUCUGACCCAGCCAUGCCGCGUGCAGGAAGACGGUCCUCUGGAUUGUAAACUGCUUUUGACAGGGAAGAAAAAAAGGCAUGCGUGCUUUAUUGACGGUACCUGCAGAAUAAGCCACGGCUAACUACGUGCCAGCAGCCGCGGUAAUACGUAGGUGGCAAGCGUUGUCCGGAUUUAUUGGGUUUAAAGGGUGCGUAGGCGGGUUGUCGCGUCUGCUGUGAAAAU
rnacentral:rRNA from 1 species